AGAGUUUGAUCCUGGCUCAGAGUGAACGCUGGCGGCGUGCUUAACACAUGCAAGUCGAACGAGAACGGAUUAUAGCUUGCUAUAAUUGUCAGCUAAGUGGCGCACGGGUGAGUAAUAUAUAGGUAACAUGCCCUUUACAAAGAAAUAACAGUUGGAAACGACUGCUAAUGUCUUAUAUGCCUUUAAUACAUAAGUAUGCAAGGGAAAGAUUUAUCGGUAAAGGAUUGGCCUGUACGGUAUCAGCUAGUUGGUGAGGUAAAAGCUCACCAAGGCAAUGACGCCUAACUGGUUUGAGAGGAUGAUCCGUCACACUGGAACUGAGACACGGUCCAGACUCCUACGGGAGGCAGCAGUGGGGAAUAUUGCACAAUGGGGGAAACCCUGAUGCACCAACGCCGCGUGGAGGAUGACACAUUUCGGUGCGUAAACUCCUUUUAUAUAGGAAGAUAAUGACGGUACUAUAUGAAUAAGCCCCGGCUAACUACGUGCCAGCAGCCGCGGUAAUACGUAGGGGGCAAGCGUUAUCCGGAUUUACUGGGUGUAAAGGGUGCGUAGGCGGCUGAUUAAGUCAGAUGUGAAAGCCCGAAGCUUAACUUCGGGACUGCAUUUGAAACUACUUGGCUAGAGUGCAGGAGAGGAAAGCGGAAUUCCUAGUGUAGCGGUGA
rnacentral:rRNA from 1 species